rfam:Candidatus Kaiserbacteria bacterium RIFCSPHIGHO2_12_FTLL_53_13 rifcsphigho2_12_scaffold_3677, whole genome shotgun sequence.
GGAGUUCUGAGUAAGGGCGUGCGGUGGAUGCCUUGACUGAAGAAGGCGAUGAAGGACGCGGCUUAGCUGCGAUACGCUUCGGGGAGGUGCUAUGCAACCAGCGAUCCGGAGAUUUCCGAAUGGGGAAACCCCAUCGAGUUAACCCUCGGUGAUUCUCUACUUAAACGAUAGAGAAAGCAGACCUCGGGAAGUGAAACAUCUCAGUACCGAGAGGAAAAGAGAACAAUAGUUAUUCCCUUAGUAGCGGCGAGCGAAACGGGAGGAGCCCAAACUCAGCCACAAUGUAGUUCUGCGAAGCAAUUCGUAGGGCGACAUUGGGGAUGGGGGUUAUAAGACUACGGCGUGUACGCGAAAGCGUACGUAGAGUUAAAAAAUGCUUAGUUAGAGGAAUGCGCUGGAAAGCGCGGCCCUAGAGGGUAAUGGCCCCGUACUCGAAAACGAAGCAUCUCUAUGGCUGUAGUUCUUGAGUAGCUCGAGACAUGAAUAGCUCGGGUGAAUUUGCCAGGACUAACUGGUAAGGCUACAUACUUCUUCAGAUCGAUAGUGAACAAGUACCGUGAGGGAAAGGUGAAAAGAACCCCGGUGAGGGGAGUGAAAUAGACCUGAAACCGCAUGCCUACAAGGAGUCAGAGCGGGCAGCAAUGUCCGUCAUGGCGUGCCUAUUGAAGAAUGAGCCAACGAGUUGAUGCAUACGGCUUGGCUAAGGCCUUAUCGGCUGGAGCCGCAGCGAAAGCGAGUGUUAAUAGCGCGUAAGCCCAGCACUAACUUUGGCCUUGCUAUGAUUGGGGCAUGUACUACAUGUAUGUGCUUGAAGAUGAUAGCGGGGAAUUAUAUUUCGGUUCAACGAAUGAUUUAAAGCGACGGCUUUCCGAGCAUCGCCGCGGUCAUUCUCGAACGACAAAAGGCAGGAGAAUGUCAUUGGUCUACUAUGAAGCGUAUCGUGCGGAAGCCGAUGCGCGGCGAAGAGAAGACCAGAUGAAACUGCACGGUCAAGCGAAACGACAACUGAAAGAUCGUAUUCGUGAAAGCCGUCGAGGCCAAAGUUAGUGCUGGGUCGUCGUAUGUAUCAGACCCGAAGCAACGUGAGCUACCCAUGAGCAGGCUGAACGUUCUCGAAAGAGAACGGGAGGGCCGAACCCAUAGAUUGUACAACAUCUCGGGAUGACUUGUGGGUUGGAGUGAAAAGCUUAUCGAACGUUGUAAUAGCUGGUUCUCUCCGAAAGAGCUUUCGGGCUUGCGUCGCAUGUUCCCUUUGGGGGUAGAGCACUGGAAGGUUUCGACAGGUCGAAAGACCGCGAAACCUAUCAAACUCCGAAUACCAGAGGUUAGAGUGCGGCAGUUAGACUACGGGGGCGAAGCUCCGUUGGUCAAAAGGGAAACAGCCCAGAUCGCAAGCUAAGGUCCCUAAAUUUACGCUAAGUGCAAUGAAGGAGGUGAGAUUUCUUAGACAGUGAGGAUGUUGGCUUAGAAGCAGCCACCAUUCAAAGAAAGCGUAACAGCUCACUCACUUAGAGGUCUCGCGCCAAAAAUGAUCGGGGCUAAGCGUAGUACCGAAGCUGCGGAUUUAAUAUGUCUUCGGACAUAAUAAGUGGUAGGAGAGCGUUCCAAUCUGCGAUGAAGGUAAAGGGGAGACCCAUACUGGAGCGUUUGGAAGUGAAAAUGUUGGCACGAGUAACCGCAAUGCGAGUGAGAUUCUCGCACGCCGAAAGAUCAAGGUUUCCUUCGCAAUGGAGAUCAGCGAAGGGUUAGUCGGGCCUAAGCCGAUGGCGAACGCCGGAGGCGAUGGACACACGGUUAAUAUUCCGUGACCUGGGCCUGUUGCGAUGGGGUGACGGAGUGCUGUACCUCGAGCCCAUUAUUGGAUUUGGGUUCGGGUCGUGAGGGUGCGUCCCAGGAAAAUCCGGGAUGUAUCGCCCGAGCGAAACGAGAAUCUCUAGGCCUCGGCCGAAGGAGAUUCGAGGGAGCGCGCUUUCGAGAAAAGCCUCUAAGCUUAAACAGGUCUAGACCGUACCAAAACCGACACAGGUGAUCAGCUCGAGUAGAGUAAGGCGAACGAGUGAGAGGUCCUCAAGGAACUCGGCAAAAAAUCGACCGUAACUUCGGGAUAAGGUCUGUCCCUCGCAAGAGGGGCCGCAGCUAAAGAUUCCCUGACAACUGUUUACCAAAAACACAGCUCCCUGCGAACUCGUAAGAGGAUGUAUAGGGGGUGAUGCCUGACCAAUGCCGGAAGGUCAAACGCGAGCGGUGUACGCAUUUAUGUGUAUGCUGGAUUGUGUAAGCCCCGGUGAAUGUCGGCGAUAACUAUAAUCGUCCUAAGGUAGCGAAAUUCCUUGUCUGGUAACUGGAUUGCCAGGUUUAGGAGAAAUCCUAAACAAAACACUAGCUCAUAACGGUGAAGUCUUAAUCGGAGUGCUGUAAGGAAAACGGCGUGUUGAUGAAAGGAUAAUACCGUGGGAAGUCGUUUCGAAAGAGAUUGACCCCGUAACGACUUAUGCACCGCCAAUCAGGCGCGCAUAGAUGGUCUUGUUAUACUUAACGUAUGCAAGGUCAUAACACGCUAGCUCUUCCAAAGAAAGAACUCUCUCAAUACAUAUCGGGAUAUGUAGACGGUGAAGGAUGUUUUUCCGUUUCGGUGACGAAACGGCCCAAACUCCUCAUUGGAUGGGAAAUCAAACCAAGCUUUGCUGUCGGUCAAAAUUUUGAUCGGCGAGAAGUAUUGGACAUUAUGCAUUCGUAUUUUUCUUGCGGACACAUUCGCAGGGAUUGGGGUGAUAAAACACUCAAAUACGAAGUGCGUAAAGCAGAAGAUCUUGAAACACAGAUUAUUCCGCAUUUUCUCAAGUUUCCGCUGUUAUCAGCAAAGCACAAUGACUUUCUGAUAUUUGCGGACAUCUGCAAACGAAUGAGAUUGGGUGAGCAUCAUACAAAAGCUGGUUUGAGAAAAAUUCUUAAACUCGCGUAUGACAUGAAUGGCUCUGGGAAGCGCAAGCUUCCACUCGAAGCGAUUCUAAAAACUCUUUGAAGAUGAAGGUAUAGUCUAAUGCCCGUAGUAAUACGGGGAGAGUGUCAUAUCGCGCGGAUAUGGCGAUCAAGCUCAAUGAAGUUCAGACGCGCACGAAUGGUAUAAUGAUUGGGGAACUGUCUCGAGGACUUGCUCGGUGAAAAUACAAGGGCGGUGAAGAUG